GCUGGCGGCGUGCCUCAGACAUGCAAGUCGAACGCGAAAGGCCCCUUCGGGGGCCGAGUAGAGUGGCGCACGGGUGAGUAACACGUAGGUAAUCUACCUCUGGGUGGGGAAUAACGAUCGGAAACGGUCGCUAAUACCGCAUAAUGCAGCGGCACCACAUGGUGACAGUUGUUAAAGCGGGGGAUCGUAAGACCUCGCGCCUAGAGAUGAGCCUGCGGCGGAUUAGCUAGUUGGCAGGGUAACGGCCUACCAAGGCGACGAUCCGUAGCCGGCCUGAGAGGGCGGACGGCCACACUGGCACUGACAUACGGGCCAGACUCCUACGGGAGGCAGCAGUCGGGAAUUUUGGGCAAUGGGCGAAAGCCUGACCCAGCAACGCCGCGUGAAGGAUGAAGCUUUUCGGAGUGUAAACUUCAUAAGAAUGGGACGAAUAAGGAGGGGUUAACACCCCCUUUGAUGACGGUACCAUUUGUAAGCUCCGGCUAACUCCGUGCCAGCAGCCGCGGUAAUACGGGGGGAGCAAGCGUUGUUCGGAUUUACUGGGCGUAAAGGGCGCGUA
rnacentral:rRNA from 1 species